rnacentral:rRNA from 1 species
CCAAUAGCGUAUAUUAAAGUUGUUGCAGUUAAAAAGCUCGUAGUUGAAUUUCGGGAUCAAUAUAUCGGUCGUGCCAUUGGUACGUACUGGUAUCAUUGGUUUCUCCUUUCUGACGAACCAUGAUGUCAUUAAUUUGGUGUUAUGGGAAGUUAGGACUGUUACUUUGAAAAAAUUAGAGUGUUUAAAGCAGGCUUUAGCUUGAAUCCAUUAGCAUGGAAUAAUGAAAUAGGACGUUCGAACCUAUUUUGUUGGUUUCUAGGAUCAACGUAAUGAUUAAUAGGGAUAGUUGGGGGCAUUAGUAUUCAAUUGUCAGAGGUGAAAUUCUUGGAUUUAUUGAAGACUAACUACUGCGAAAGCAUUUGCCAAGGAUGUUUUCAUUAAUCAAGAACGAAAGUUAGGGGAUCGAAGACGAUCAGAUACCGUCGUAGUCUUAACCAUAAACUAUGCCGACUAGGGAUCGGAUGAUGUUAAUUUUUUAAUGACUCAUUCGGCGCCUUACG